CUGCGGCGGCUGCGCGCGUGUUGGGGAUUCGGAAUCCAACGGCCGUCCUGGAGUGUCGGGCGCAGCCUUCAGGACAGUCACUUCUUUUAUUUAAAAAAGCAAGAGAGAAAAAAAAAAAUCGCGCUUGGCAACGUUCGGUUUGAGUGGACUGGAAAAAUUUGGGUGGAAUCCAUCGGGCGCUACAUCUCUAAUCCUGCGUCUUUUUCGUGAAGGAGGGGGGGAGGGUCCGGAAUGCAAGCUGGCAGACCUGGUCGACGAUUGACAGAUGGCCCCCGAGUUUAAUACAGAGAAACUCUCCGGCACAUGAGGACCAUGGAGGACUCCGACUCUGAGUCCGUGCGAACUGUUAAAGAACUGACCAAUAAUUCACCAAAAACUGCAGUUCAUCAAGAUCGUGAUUAUAAUUCCGUGGCACAGCACGCAGAUACUGUACGGCCUGCAAAUAGAUACCCCUUUCAUGAAAAUUUGAGGAAAAAUUUACCAUUGAUUAAUCCAAGUGCGCUUGAAACCUUGAGCACUCUAAUGCAAGAGAUUCAAAACACCAGUGGGGCAGAUCCUGAGAUUUUGAAGAGCUGUGAGGCAAGAUGGCUGCAGCUCUUUAAACUAAUGGAAAAGCAAUACCAGGACCAGAUGUUGUCUCAGCAGGAUCAAUACCAAUGUCAGAUCCAACUUAUCCAAGACGAAAUCAAAGCACUAAUUCAGUUACAAAAUGACAUUGGUCUCGCACAGUGUACAGCCAGAUUACCAUGCUUUUCAAAACUCGCAGGUGACUUGACUGCAUCUGGUUUUCGCAAUGGCCACAGCUUGGAGGAACAGGAAUGUAAAAUAGAAUCUGAUGUUCAGUCUGACUGCAGUGAAAUAGAGGAACAGGUAAUGGCUACUAGUGAAUGUAAUCAUGAACAGAAAGAACUUCAGGACAACACGCUAUUGACCAGUGGAUAUGGAACAUUUUUAGCAUCUGUGCAAUCUAGUUUUCAUGGUCUUGGUACAGCGAAUAAGGCCAGAUUGAAUGCUUCAAAUAGUACACAGAAUAUGAAGGAAAAUGAUUCGAUUUCACCUAAGCAUAAUCUAUCCAGUUUUCCUCACCUGAAAGAAAAUGGACAAGCAUCAUUCAUUUUUGCCACUGGUGAUGAGCACUCUGUUGCACUUAAAUUUCCAAGCAAACCAGUUCAAGACAUGAGGACUAAUCAGGAAGCAAGUAGCAAUAAAUCUAAGUUGGAAAUUAAAGCCCUGACUGAUGGUCUUCUUGGAAAGCAGAAUAAGGCUAAUGGUUUGACGUCAUGGGCACAAAAAGUUAAACAGAAGAAUCAGAAAUCAAAAUUUGCAAAGGGAGCUGGAUUGGAGAGAAUGCAGCCACGAGGAUGUGGGCAGCCACAGGAGAUUGAAGCACCAGAAGAUGUUCAUUUAAUAUCUGCAGGCUCAUCUCACAACUGCUCCUACCUCAACGGACCUUCUAGCAGUCCGAAUUCUUUGGUAUCUAAUGUUUCAGGACUAUCUUAUUGGAGGCUGGAUGAAGGGGAGCUGUACUACCCUUUACCAAAGAACAAGGAGGCUGAUGUAGCUGAUAUAUUUUCUUCCACCAAAACUGUCGACAGAUGUCAGCUUCCAACAGGCUCCCAAUGGCAGGCCCCUUCACUGAAGGAGAUUUAUUGUGUGAAACAGAAGGAAAAACAGAGAGUACCUGACUGGGAAUUGAGUCCCCCUCCACUUCAUCAGUCUCCCCCACAGGUUUUAACGCUUGAUCCCACUCUUCAUAUGAAGCCAUCUGCAGCAUUUUCUCCACGUUAUAAUUCCAGCACUCCAAUAGCAGUUUCAGAAUCUGAUACUCGGUCUUCAGUCAGCCCAGACUCCAUAGUGGGUGUAACCAUGCAUAGCCAUUCCAAUCCUAAUUCAGAUUCACAUGUAGAUACUUCUGCAGGGCCAGAAUUGACCAGUUCUUCCAGAUGUUCCCCACAGAAAAACUCGUCACCAUUGCAGAACUGGAAUCUCCAUCCUGCCUCAAGGUCUUCCUGUGUUAUGGACAGUCCACAUUCUAAAACCUUAAAGCCAACAAGGAAUCCAAAUUCAUUACAUGAUCAAGGGGAGGGCAGCAGUUCUACAUUGACUUUACCAUCUGUGCCCUGUAUUGGGCCAUUAGGGAUUGCAAACAGUGUAAAUGAAUCAUUGGACCAUAAUGUAUCUGCAUCAUCUCUUGAAGAUCCUAUCAUGUUAUCCAUAGCUCGUCUAAAUUUACGGGAGAAACAUGCGCGUCAUGUGGCUGACAUUAGAGCUUACUAUGAGGCAGAAAUAAAUGGCCUUAAAGAAAAGCUGGAAACCUUAAAUGGAUCUUCUACAAUAUUUGAAGCAGAGAAAUGUAACAAGAAUCUUUUAAAAAGAUGUGAACAACUGGAAAGUGCUUUAACUGAAGCUGGUAAUCGUAUUCGAGACCUAGAGAACAAGAACUACUUAAUGGAAAUGCAGUUGGCUGAUUGGCCAGGACGCUAUGAUGCAGUUAAUGCCACGUCUCAUGCAUUACAACAGCGUCUUGAUGAAAUGCGAAAAGACAACAAGGACAAAGAUAAUAUGAUCAACAAACUCAAUAGCAGGCUGAAAGGCCUGGAAGAGGCUUUUGAAAAAGCUUACAAACACUCUGAUAAUAAAGAUGCCAGAAUGAAACAAGAGCACAAAAUAUUACAGAAUCUGCUUACAGAAUAUGAGUCACUAGGAAAAGAACACGAACAAGUAAAGGAGACUUUGAAUACCACAGAAGAUAAACUAAUUGAUGCAAAUUCGCAAAUCUCGGAGCUGAAAAGGAUUGUUUCGAAACUUGAGGCUCAAAUUCGACAAGCAGAACAUGAGAGAAGCUUUAUGAAAGUCCGAUCCAGUGCACACAGCUGUUCACGGACAUCAAGCAGUAGCCUUUUCUAUCAUCCUGAUGAAAAUCAUUCUCCUACAAAAACUGCUCCUGAUGAUGUUGCAAGACGCAAGUGGCUGACUCCAGGUUCUGACUAUUCCAUCUUCACAGGACAACCCUUAGAAAGUAACUGCAAUUCUUCCAGCAAUGAAUUUGGGGAGACCCACCUGCAGCCCAGAAGGUUCCAUUCGCCCCCGGAGAAGGAUCGCCCCUGUAGUCAGCAAGACCCUUCAAAUGAUUUGGAGGAACCAAUUCCUCCUAUUCUGAAAGCAUUGCAAAGGCUUGAUGCCAGAAAUGUGUCUGAAAGCUUGAGAGUGCAAGCUCCAACACAUGAUGUCUCAGAAGCGGGUGAUGGCACAAAAUUCUUGAAUCACAGACAGACUGUAGGAUUUGCAGACUCCACCUACAGUAGAGACAAGUCUGUGGACUCAUAUAAGAAUCGACCCAGAUCAAAAGGCAGUAGUUCUCCCCCAGGCCAAAGAUCGUCUUCUGUACCCCCUUCAAAUCGGAGGUUGACGCCCACUUCUACACCAACUAAACGAAACACUUUGUUAACAUCAUUGUCUGCUAAGUCCAGUCCCAAACGUUGUCCUAAAGAGAACCUGUCCCCUGGAUUUAAUCACAUCCUUGGCAAAGAAGAAAACACAGUGACAAGAUUUGAUGUGCACUUGGAUGAAAUGGAGCUUCCUAGUUCAGUCCCCUCUCAAAGUUCAAGUCCAAGAAAGAGACUUCAGUUUUUCCCACUAGAAAAUACAAAAGCAAUGCAAAAUUCAAGGAAUUGUGUUGAUGACAAGUUUCAAGUUGAAUCACUUUCAGAUUCUGUACUAGAUGCAGUGAAGCUGGGAUCUUUUACUAGUCGGCCUGCUUGGGAAGACAAGGCAACCACUUUUCAGAAAGAGAAGAAAAUUCCUGUACUACAAACACCCUAUGAGACAGAACUGACAUACAAAGCAAGAAUGGAGGCACUAGGAGAGACUGAGAAGCUUUUCGAUACACUUACACAAGAAAAGCAACAGCCCGUGGAAUCUUGUGGCUUUACUCCAAAAGCAGGUGUCAUCAACUCAAUCUCUAUGUACUUUCAACAAAAUGUUAUUGUUCCCUAACCGGAUCUCUCCCAUAUGUCCUGGGGUCUGUCCAAAGAUCAUAACAAUGGCCAUUAGUAAACUGUGCAGAUGAACAGAUGGCACUGUAGAAAAAUGAGGACAAAGGAUGUUGGAAUUUACAAAGAAUGAAAAUGACAAAGCAGGACAGACUAUAACAUUUAUCAGAUCGAAGCUGCAUUAAGUCGCAUACCUGGUUCAACAGGUAGAAUGAAUCUGCAAGCAAGGCUUGAAAAGGAAGCUUUAGAAGAUCGUUUAGAAAAGAUCAAUCGCGAUCUAGGAUCAAUCCGUAUGACAUUGAAGCGGUUUCAUGUUUUACGAACUUCUGCAAAUUUGUAAAUUGUUUCCCAUUCUUCAUUUGACCAAAUCAUUACUUGCACUAAAACUACAUGUGUAUGCACAGUUUUCACUGGUAAAAGAUGGGUUUAUUUUGAAUCAUUGAGACUGAAUGAUGGCCUUAAUAUGUGUGUCUAUAUAUUACAGGUCACACUGUUGUACAUGUAAAGCAAAACAUUGUGCCUUUUUUAGGAAGCGCAGUCCAUAUCUCACUAGUUUUGUUAUUAAAAUUGGAACUAAAACCCACAAGAUAUAUUUUAGUAAUGUUUAGAGAGUGCAUAAUAUCUGUACUUUUGUAUAUGAUGUAGACCAUAUAGAAGUGGUUACUGUUUGUUAAAAUCUGCACUAAGAUGUAAAGCUCUUGUCAUAAAAUAUUUUGCAGACUUAGGGUUUUUGUUUCUCAGAAUUUUUUAAUAUUUUAUAUUUGAAGUUGAAAUACAUUUUCUUGAACUAAUUUUUCAAAAAAUAUAUAAAAAUGCAGUAUUAAAUAAACUGAAAGGCCAGACAUGCUAUUGCAAUAAAGUGUCUUAAUUCAGUAAGGAUAUCUCAAAAUGACAAGCCACUUAAGUAAAUAUAUUUUUGGUAUCUGCAACGAGUUUCAUAGAGUCUAUGAAAGUUGUGCCAAUAACUUUAGCACAUCACUCAACCUCCAAGUUUCUUUCUAAUUACUAAACCAUGUCUAGCUAUUUUAAUUGACCAACAAUGCUUUGAAUAUGUAAGACUAUAAAUUGCUGUUUGGACAACUUAUUAAAAAUGUAAUGCUGAGA